rnacentral:rRNA from 1 species
GAUGAACGCUGGCGGCGUGCUUAACACAUGCAAGUCGAGCGGUAAGGCCCUUCGGGGUACACGAGCGGCGAACGGGUGAGUAACACGUGGGUAACCUGCCCUGUACUCUGGGAUAAGCCUUGGAAACAAGGUCUAAUACCGGAUACGACCUCUGAUCGCACGAUCGGUGGUGGAAAGUUCCGGCGGUAUGGGAUGGACCCGCGGCCUAUCAGCUUGUUGGUGGGGUAAUGGCCUACCAAGGCGACGACGGGUAGCCGGCCUGAGAGGGUGACCGGCCACACUGGGACUGAGACACGGCCCAGACUCCUACGGGAGGCAGCAGUGGGGAAUAUUGCACAAUGGGCGAAAGCCUGAUGCAGCGACGCCGCGUGAGGGAUGACGGCCUUCGGGUUGUAAACCUCUUUCAGCAGGGACGAAGCGCAAGUGACGGUACCUGCAGAAGAAGCACCGGCUAACUACGUGCCAGCAGCCGCAGUAAUAC